GACAACUCCUGAUUAUAAACUUGUGGAGUAGAAGAAGCCCUUAAUUAUGAGGCCAUUAGACCUUUAGACCUUUUCUCCAACUUCCUGUUGAACAGCGCUAGGAAUUUAAGCAGUUUCCAGUCACUGCCACCCUUCCCUGUCCUCUGAGAACUGGUAGGGUGUCAAGGCUCUUCCACCGUAUCAUUAACCCUUGGCUCCCCACUUUGUCCAGUUACCAAGGAGAGAUUGUCAAGGAAACAAAUGGUAUUUUCCACUCAGGACUGUAGUGCCAGAUUCAGCGAUGGACUUCCUGCUUCUCAGCACUUGUGAUGUGUUAUACUAUAUUUGAACUUGGACAGGAAAGCUACAGGCAUGUUUAGAAGUUUGGGAAAUAAGAUCUAUGGCAAAAGUCAACCCGUUAGCCAGUAUAUCCAGAGUAUUUUAUUAAGGUCCGUGGGGUGCCAAGCACUUUAAUAGAAUCAGAGCAUUCCAGCAUGCUCUGCAGAGGUUAAAGGCACUGAGAUGAUUUGUCCUGGAGAAGAGAAGAGUGAGAGGAAGCUGCUGUAAAUCCUCCAAUAUUUGAAGAAGUAUUAUUCAGAGGGUGGCAACCAACUGUACUUGAACUCUGCUAAGACUAGAACAUGAGGAAAUACACUUGAAGCAUAGACAUUCUGUUUAUUUUAAAGAAAGACUUUCCCAACAGUAUAAAUUGCUAAAUACCUUGAUGGGUUCCCUAGGAAGAUGGCCGCAUUUCUUUUUGGAAAGCCUAGACCUAAAAGGCUUACCUUUUACCUGCCUGAAAUGCUUUGGUUUUGUAUGCAACAAUUAUGCGUGUGUAUGUGUUUUUCUGACGACAAGAGCUGCGCUGACUUCUGAUCUAGGCAACCUCUAACUAUGACUAAUCUUUGAAGAGCAAAUAUUCACCAUAUAUUUCUGGAAAGGUCAGAGGAUUGUCAUCUUCAGGGUUCACCAGUCUCUGAGGGGAAGUAGCAGCCACAUAUUUCAGUGUCUCUUGCUUUGGAGUGAGGGGAAAUUUUAUCUGAAGACCACUGGGUUAGCAGCUUAUUCCCAAAGUAAUGACUGGUAACGAAGAUGGAAUUAUCAUGACUCGCACAGACCAAUCAUCUGAGGACGAGCAAAGAACCUGGGGUACUGAGAGGUUAAAUAAGUUGCCCAAGAAAAAAACCCACACGGCUCAUACGUGGCAAGGCAGAGAUGUGAACCCAGGCAGAAUGGCUCCCAAGCCUGAGUUCCGACCUCCACGAGUACCUGUUCAUGAAAGAACAAACAAAGAAACACAGAAACACUAAGAGCGCAGACUGUUUCUCGUUUAC
rnacentral:lncRNA from 1 species